UACGAAGGGGGCUAGCGUUGCUCGGAAUCACUGGGCGUAAAGCGCACGUAGGCGGAUUGUUAAGUCAGGGGUGAAAUCCUGGAGCUCAACUCCAGAACUGCCUUUGAUACUGGCGAUCUUGAGUCCGGGAGAGGUGAGUGGAACUGCGAGUGUAGAGGUGAAAUUCGUAGAUAUUCGCAAGGACACCAGUGGCGAAGGCGGCUCACUGGCCCGGUACUGACGCUGAGGUGCGAAAGCGUGGGGAGCAAACAGGG
rnacentral:rRNA from 1 species